rnacentral:rRNA from 1 species
UACGAAGGGGGCAAGCGUUGUCCGGAUUUACUGGGCGUAAAGGGCGUGCAGGCGGUUUGUUAAGUGCAGGGUGAAAGCUCCCGGCUCAACUGGGAGAGGUCCUUGCAUACUGGCGAACUCGAGGGAGGCAGAGGAAAGUGGAAUUCCCGGUGUAGUGGUGAUAUGCGUAGAUAUCGGGAGGAACACCUGUGGCGAAGGCGGCUUUCUGGGCCUUACCUGACGCUGAGACGCGAAAGCGUGGGGAGCGAACCGG